CAGAGAGGAAUAAGUUCGCUGUUGGAACUGCAGGCCUGCUGCUGGGUUUGCUGGUUUUUGUUGCUGGGCUGAUUUUCUACAAGAAGAACUCAACAGGCCGGACGUUGGUGCCGACAGGUUAAGGUUGUCGCUGCUGCGUUUCUAAAGGUGGAAUCAUCUUCUUGUUUUACUAGACGCCAAAUACCUUGAGUUGUUUUGGGCAUUGCUGCUAUGUUGAUUCAGAGACACUUAUUCACAUAAUGAAGUUAUUUAUUCAAUAAAACAGGUUGAUAAAAUCAAAGAAGAAAAGCCAGAUGGACUAUUUAAAUCAUGUCUUUAUGAUCAUUUGACUGUGAAAGUUAUUCUUUAGUUUAUACACUGAAAA